GACCCCGGCAAGUGGUUGUCUUUAUAACAGGGAGCAAGGUCCAGGCCCAGGCUUCUGAGAUGGGCUCUGUGCCUUUGCUGGCCUCCCAGCUCCUUGUCCUCGCUCUCUCCUGAGUCUCCCUCUCUUUACCUCCACCCCACUCUCAGACCAUACCUCCUGCUGGCUCAUUCACCUCCACCCCCACCCCCCAUUUGCUGGCUGACCUACAAGGCUUCCCCAUGCGCCAGAAAGCUCCAGUGCGAUGAAACUCGAGCCCUCGGCCCACGCUCCUGAUCCUUUCUCAACCCACAGCAGAAUACUUCCAUGCCGGGGGAAGCGGGCCCGGCGGCCGGCGGGAGAGCAAGGAAUUCCCUGGAAAUGAAGAGAGACACACUAUAACUGUGAUUCCAAAGGAAGGCCGUUAGAUCUCCUCAUGGCCUUGUGCAAGGGGGUUUGCGUCAUGAUACAUGCAUGGUACAGAUGUAAUAAAGCUGUUGGAUG